AGUCGAGCGAGCUUGCCUAGAUGAUUUUAGUGCUUGCACUAAAUGAAACUAGAUACAAGCGAGCGGCGGACGGGUGAGUAACACGUGGGUAACCUGCCCAAGAGACUGGGAUAACACCUGGAAACAGAUGCUAAUACCGGAUAACAACACUAGACGCAUGUCUAGAGUUUGAAAGAUGGUUCUGCUAUCACUCUUGGAUGGACCUGCGGUGCAUUAGCUAGUUGGUAAGGUAACGGCUUACCAAGGCAAUGAUGCAUAGCCGAGUUGAGAGACUGAUCGGCCACAUUGGGACUGAGACACGGCCCAAACUCCUACGGGAGGCAGCAGUAGGGAAUCUUCCACAAUGGACGAAAGUCUGAUGGAGCAACGCCGCGUGAGUGAAGAAGGGUUUCGGCUCGUAAAGCUCUGUUGGUAGUGAAGAAAGAUAGAGGUAGUAACUGGCCUUUAUUUGACGGUAAUUACUUAGAAAGUCACGGCUAACUACGUGCCAGCAGCCGCGGUAAUACGUAGGUGGCAAGCGUUGUCCGGAUUUAUUGGGCGUAAAGCGAGUGCAGGCGGUUCAAUAAGUCUGAUGUGAAAGCCCGUGGCUCAACCGCGGAACUGCUUUGGAAACUGUAUAGCUUGAGUACUGGAGAGGCAGGCGGAAUUCCUAGUGUAGCGGUGAAAUGCGUAGAUAUUAGGAGGAACACCAGUGGCGAAGGCGGCCUGCUGGACAGAAACUGACGUUGAGGCUCGAAAGCGUGGGGAGCAAACAGGAUUAGAUACCCUGGUAGUCCACGCGGUAAACGAUGAAUGCUAGGUGUUGGG
rnacentral:rRNA from 1 species